rnacentral:lncRNA from 1 species
GCUUUUUAGAGCCAGUGAGAUAAGGAGAACUUGCUCUAUUUCAUGUAAGAAAGCUUAUCUGUUACUAACAUAGUAGAUUUAUCCUCUGUCAAUCCAGAAGAAAGAACUAGACCUGAAGGGUGGAGCUUGUAGGAAGAAGACAGUAGUUCAACAUAAGCAGUAUAAAAAGAAGGGCUGCUGUGAUAGGUAAUGAGCUACCAGUCAGUGGACGUGUUUUUGGUUUGGCAGCUGCAGUCUAGGAAUGAGCAGAUGGUCUACAUCCUGGGGACGAGAUUGGAAGAGAUGAGAACCAAAGCCCCUCCCAGCCCAGGCAGUCAAUCUGAACACACUUCUCCAGACCUGCUGUUGCAAAGCAGUGUGCCGAAUCAACAGGAGAUGCAUGUUAAAUAAAACCCGACCCAGCCUCUCAAAAGUUUACAGUGAGAUUCUCAGGUUUUCCAAUAUCAUCUUCAUAGAGUUCCUGGAGGAAUUUAAGAAAGUACAGUGAAGAUUCAUUCCUUUCAUCUCCUAAGGAUUUCCUGGACUGUGAACUGAUCAUGCAGAAAUAUUCAGAGCAAUGAAGGACACUGCAGGGCCCUGUACAACCUCAUCAUCCAGGAUUAAAGAGUCAGUCGAUAUCACAUAUUCAGCACUAUACUAGGCACUGUGGAAAAUAACAAUGAUGUCAGCAACAACAAUAAUAGUAAUGACAAUGAAUGUUUAUUGAGCACCUACUGUAUGCCAGGCACUCAACUAGAUACUUUUCCUAGAUUAUUUCUGAGUCUUCCAAAAAUUGGAUAAAGUGGUUGUCAUUCCCUCUGUUUUAUACACAAAUAAAUGAAGACUUAAAGAAGUUAGAUAAGUUCUCAAAGUUCUACAAGUAGUGAGAAUAAGGACCUAUAUAUGAUAAUUUCCUUGUCCUUGAAGAGUUUUAGGAAACACCAUCUCCCAUCUGUUAUCCAAGAAUAUUCUCUUGCUUCUAGUCUCACAUCAACAUUCAUUCAGUCAAUAAGUUUUUAUAUAGCGCUUAGUAUGUGUAUCUGCAAAUACCACCUUGACAACAGAGAGAAAAUACACAGAACAAUUAUUCACUCAAAGCUGGGAAAUGUAAUGAAAGGUCAGAGACAGAAAUCAGUGUGGGCUGGAGAAGUAGGGAAAGGUUUUAUGGAGGAGUGGGACUGGGGUUGGGUCUUGCAGGAUAAAAGAAUUAUUCAAAGAGCAUUCCUGGCCAGGCGAACAGGAUAGGCAAUGGCACUGGGGCAUGAAUAAGCAUGACAGGGGGAAGUACAUUGGGAGGACACAGAAAUGUCAUAAGUGGAAGAAAGAAACUAUUCAGAUGCCCUAUGGGGAUUGGACAAGAGGAUGGCAUUCAUCUAGGAAUUUAUUUGGGCUAUUGCAAAUGAUAAUCCAACGCUUCAAGUUUCUUAUUACCUGAAGAUAUGGAGUACAUAAAAAUGAUGAAUGAAAACAAACAAUAUUAUUUUGCAGUAACAUUUAAAUUACUAACUCUUCUAUAAGAGAAGCAGUCUACCAAGUUAAGGAGUGGUUAGGAAGAUUAGGAAAGUGUUUCUGUCCCUCACUGAGAAUUAAACUUUGUUUGUUUGUUUGUUUGUUUGUUUGAGAUGCAGUCUUGCUCUGUCUCUCAGGCUGGAGUGCAGUGGCG